rnacentral:rRNA from 1 species
AUGAAAGGUGUAUUUUGGAAUGUCAGAGGACUAAAUGGAUCCUCCAAAAGCACUAGGGUGCAGGAGCUCAUUAGAGCACAUCACCCUGAUUUUAUCUGCCUUUCUGAAUCAAAAAAAGAAAAGUUUACCAAUUCCCAGCUAGAGGCCAUAGAUGUUGGCCUUGAAUUUGUGUGGAACUGGCUUCCAUCGGUGAAUACUGCUGGAGGGGUGUUGGUGGGUGUGAAAUAUGAUGUGUUCGAAAUUAUAAGUUGUGAUAUUCACAUCUAUAGUGUUGCCCUUAUGCUGAGAAAUAAAAAUGACAACAGCAUUUGGAGACUAAUCUCUGUCUAUGGGUCUGCUUAUGAUGCUUUUAAAUUAGAUUUUAUUCAAGAACUG